CGCCUGUUUAUCAAAAACAUCUCUUCUCGUUAGUUUUUGAAGUAUGGCCUGCCCACUGACCUUGAAUGUUGAAGGGCCGCGGUAUUUUGACCGUGCAAAGGUAGCAUAGUCAUUAGUUCUUUAAUUGUGAUCUGGUAUGAAUGGCUUGACGAGGCAUGAGCUGUCUUAAUUUUGAAUUGUUUAUUGAAUUUGGUCUUUGAGUUAAAAUUCUUAGAUGUUUUUAUGGGACGAGAAGACCCUAUAGAGUUUUACAUUUAUUAUGGUCUCUUUCUGUUUGUGAGGGUUCACUAGGGCUGUUUAAUAUGUUUUGUUGGGGUGAUGGGAGGGAUAUUGUUUAACCCCUCCUUUAUGUUGUUAUAUUUAUUAAUAUUUGCUUGAUCCAUUUAUUUUGAUUGUAAGAUUAAAUUACCUUAGGGAUAACAGCGUAA
rnacentral:rRNA from 1 species